CGGGGGUGCAAGCGUUGUUCGGAUUUAUUGGGCGUAAAGCGCGUGUAGGCGGUUUGUUAAGUCUGAUGUGAAAGCCCUGGGCUCAACCCAGGAAGUGCAUUGGAUACUGGCAAACUUGAAUACGGGAGAGGGUAGUGGAAUUCCUGGUGUAGGAGUGAAAUCCGUAGAUAUCAGGAGGAACACCGGUGGCGAAGGCGGCUGCCUGGACCGAUAUUGACGCUGAGACGCGAAAGCGUGGGUAGCAAACAGGAUUAGAUACCCUGGUAGUCCACGCCGUAAACGAUGAGUACUAGGUGUUGCGGGUAUUGACCCCUGCAGUGCCGCAGCUAACGCAUUAAGUACUCCGCCUGGGAAGUACGGUCGCAAGACUA
rnacentral:rRNA from 1 species